UGGCGCAGCCCUCGUUCUCGUGGCUAUCUGGUUAGGAUGGCCCAA
rfam:Streptococcus pseudopneumoniae IS7493, complete genome.